GACGAACGCUGGCGGCGUGCUUAACACAUGCAAGUCGAACGGAAAGGCCCUGCUUUUGUGGGGUGCUCGAGUGGCGAACGGGUGAGUAACACGUGAGUAACCUGCCCUUGACUUUGGGAUAACUUCAGGAAACUGGGGCUAAUACCGGAUAGGAGCUCCUGCUGCAUGGUGGGGGUUGGAAAGUUUCGGCGGUUGGGGAUGGACUCGCAGCUUAUCAGCUUGUUGGUGGGGUAGUGGCUUACCAAGGCUUUGACGGGUAGCCGGCCUGAGAGGGUGACCGGCCACAUUGGGACUGAGAUACGGCCCAGACUCCUACGGGAGGCAGCAGUGGGGAAUAUUGCACAAUGGGCGGAAGCCUGAUGCAGCAACGCCGCGUGCGGGAUGACGGCCUUCGGGUUGUAAACCGCUUUCGCCUGUGACGAAGCGUGAGUGACGGUAAUGGGUAAAGAAGCACCGGCUAACUUCGUG
rnacentral:rRNA from 1 species